CGAAGAACCUUACCUGGUCUUGACAUCCACAGAACUUUCCAGAGAUGGAUUGGUGCCUUCGGGAACUGUGAGACAGGUGCUGCAUGGCUGUCGUCAGCUCGUGUUGUGAAAUGUUGGGUUAAGUCCCGCAACGAGCGCAACCCUUAUCCUUUGUUGCCAGCGAUUAGGUCGGGAACUCAAAGGAGACUGCCAGUGAUAAACUGGAGGAAGGUGGGGAUGACGUCAAGUCAUCAUGGCCCUUACGACCAGGGCUACACACGUGCUACAAUGGCGCAUACAAAGAGAAGCGACCUCGCGAGAGCAAGCGGACCUCAUAAAGUGCGUCGUAGUCCGGAUUGGAGUCUGCAACUCGACUCCAUGAAGUCGGAAUCGCUAGUAAUCGUGGAUCAGAAUGCCACGGUGAAUACGUUCCCGGGCCUUGUACACACCGCCCGUCACACCAUGGGAGUGGGUUGCAAAAGAAGUAGGUAGCUUAACCUUCGGGAGGGCGCUUACCACUUUGUGAUUCAUGACUGGGGUGAAGUCGUAACAAGGUAACCGUAGGGGAACCUGCGGUUGGA
rnacentral:rRNA from 2 species